GUGCUCAUUUCAGCAGCACACAUACUAAAAUUCAAACAAUACAGAGAAGAUGAGCAUGGCCCUGGCACAAGGAUAACAUACCAAUUUGGGAAGCAGUCCAUAUUUUU
ensembl:snRNA U6 U6 spliceosomal RNA